UACGGAGGGUGCAAGCGUUAUCCGGAAUUAUUGGGCGUAAAGCGUCCGCAGGCUGUUUGUUAAGUUAGAUGUAAAAUCUUGAAGCCCAACUUCAAGUUUGCGUUUAAAACUGGCAGACUAGAGAGUUUCAGAGGUACACGGAAUUCUGUGUGUAGGGGUAAAAUCCGUAGAUACACAGAGGAACACCAAAAGCGAAGGCAGUGUACUGGGAAAUUUCUGACGCUCAUGGACGAAAGCGUGGGUAGCAAACAGG
rnacentral:rRNA from 1 species